rnacentral:rRNA from 1 species
CCGUGGCGGGCGUGCUAUACAUGCAAGUCGAGCGGACAGAAGGGAGCUUGCUCCCGGAUGUUAGCGGCGGACGGGUGAGUAACACGUGGGUAACCUGCCUGUAAGACUGGGAUAACUCCGGGAAACCGGAGCUAAUACCGGAUAGUUCCUUGAACCGCAUGGUUCAAGGAUGAAAGACGGUUUCGGCUGUCACUUACAGAUGGACCCGCGGCGCAUUAGCUAGUUGGUGAGGUAACGGCUCACCAAGGCGACGAUGCGUAGCCGACCUGAGAGGGUGAUCGGCCACACUGGGACUGAGACACGGCCCAGACUCCUACGGGAGGCAGCAGUAGGGAAUCUUCCGCAAUGGACGAAAGUCUGACGGAGCAACGCCGCGUGAGUGAUGAAGGUUUUCGGAUCGUAAAGCUCUGUUGUUAGGGAAGAACAAGUGCAAGAGUAACUGCUUGCACCUUGACGGUACCUAACCAGAAAGCCACGGCUAACUACGUGCCAGCAGCCGCGGUAAUACGUAGGUGGCAAGCGUUGUCCGGAAUUAUUGGGCGUAAAGGGCUCGCAGGCGGUUUCUUAAGUCUGAUGUGAAAGCCCCCGGCUCAACCGGGGAGGGUCAUUGGAAACUGGGAAACUUGAGUGCAGAAGAGGAGAGUGGAAUUCCACGUGUAGCGGUGAAAUGCGUAGAGAUGUGGAGGAACACCAGUGGCGAAGGCGACUCUCUGGUCUGUAACUGACGCUGAGGAGCGAAAGCGUGGGGAGCGAACAGGAUUAGAUACCCUGGUAGUCCACGCCGUAAACGAUGAGUGCUAAGUGUUAGGGGUUUCCGCCCCUUAGUGCUGCAGCUAACGCAUUAAGCACUCCGCCUGGGGAGUACGGUCGCAAGACUGAAACUCAAAGGAAUUGACGGGGGCCCGCACAAGCGGUGGAGCAUGUGGUUUAAUUUCGAAGCAACGCGAAGAACCUUACCAGUCUGACAUCCUCUGACACCCUAGAGAUAGGCUUUCCCUUCGGGGACAGAGUGACAGGUGGUGCAUGAUUGUCGUCAGCUCCGUGUUCGU